UACAGAGGGGGCAAGCGUUAUUCGGAAUUAUUGGGCGUAAAGGGCGCGUAGGCGGCCGGACAAGUGGAAGGUGAAAUCCCCGAGCUCAACUCGGGAACUGCCCUCCAAACUGUUUGGCUUGAGUCCGGGGAGAGGUGAGUGGAAUUCCCAGUGUAGCGGUGAAAUGCGUAGAUAUUCGCAAGAACACCAGUGGCGAAGGCGGCUCACUGGCCCGAUAUUGACGCUGAGGCACGAAAGCGUGGGGAGCAAACAGG
rnacentral:rRNA from 1 species